rnacentral:rRNA from 1 species
GGGGGAAUCAGGGUUCGAUACCGGAGAGGGAGCCUGAGAAACGGCUACCACAUCCAAGGAAGGCAGCAGGCACGCAAAUUACCCACUCCCGGCUCGGGGAGGUAGUGACGAAAAAUAACAAUACGAGACUCAUCCGAGGCUUCGUAAUUGGAAUGGGUACACUUUAAAUCCUUUAACGAGGAUCUAUUGGAGGGCAAGUCUGGUGCCAGCAGCCGCGGUAAUUCCAGCUCCAAUAGCGUAUAUUAAAGUUGCUGCGGUUAAAAAGCUCGUAGUUGGAUCUCAGUCUCGGUCGGACGGUCCACUUCACGGUGGUACUGUUCGAAUCGGACAUUUGGCCGCCUUUCUCAGUAUGCUCUUCACUGAGUGUAUUGGGAGAGUGGCACGUUUACUUUGAAAAAAUUAGAGUGCUCAAAGCAGGCAAUUGCCUGAAUCUUCGUGCAUGGAAUGAUGGAAUAGGGCCUCGGUUCUAUUUUGUUGGUUUCCGGAACUCGAGGUAAUGAUUAAGAGGGACGGACGGGGGCAUUCGUAUUGCGACGUUAGAGGUGAAAUUCUUAGAUCGUCGCAAGACGAACUACUGCGAAAGCAUUUGCCAAGAAUGUUUUCAUUAAUCAAGAACGAAAGUCAGAGGUUCGAAGGCGAUCAGAUACCGCCCUAGUUCUGACCUUAAACGAUGCUAUCUGGCGAUCCGUCGGUGUUAAUUCCAAUGACCCGACGGGCAGCUUCCGGGAAACCAAAGUGUUCAAGUUCCGGGGGAAGUAUGGUUGCAAAACUGGAACUUAAAGGAAUUGACGGAAGGGCACCACCAGGAGUGGAGCCUGUGGCUUAAUUUGACCCAACACGGGAAAUCUCACCAGGCCCGGACACUGGCAGGAUUGACAGAUUGAUAGCUCUUUCUUGAUUCAGUGGGUGGUGGUGCAUGGCCGUUCUUAGUUGGUGGAGUGAUUUGUCUGGUUAAUUCCGAUAACGAACGAGACCCCGUCCUACUUACUAGACUGAGGAUUCUUUUGUCCUCAGAAUCUUCUUAGAGGGACAACUGGCGUUUAUCUAGCUACAUGAAAUGGGGCAAUAACAGGUCUGUGAUGCCCUUAGAUGUUCUGGGCCGCACACGCGCUACACUGAAGGGAUCAUCGUGUUUGUCCUAGCCUGAAAAGGCCGGGAAAUCCGUUGAAAUCUCUUCGUGCUAGGGAUUGAGGCUUGCAAUUUUUUCUCAUGAACGAGGAAUUCCCAGUAAGUGCGAGUCAUAAGCUCGCGCUGAUUACGUCCCUGCCCUUUGUACACACCGCCCGUCGCUACUACCGAUUGGAUGAUUUAGUGAGGCCUUCGGACUGGCUGCUAGUGGGGCGCUUGUGUCCUGCUGGUGGAUCGGGAAGAUGUUCAAACUGUAUCAUCUAGAGGAAGUAAAAGUCGUAACAAGGUU